UUUGUUUUGCAUUUGGAUUUUUCAGGGGGGAGUGCAGGUGUGGGGGAUGACUUGCAAUGACUGUGUUGACUGUGUUGUCCAUUCAGAUAUCUGUUUCAAAAUAUAUGCAAUAGGUUUUACGACACUUAACCAAAUGUAUACAUUCAACAUUGAUUUUGAAACUUUACACUACUAUAAAUUAUUCAUCAAAUUUUUCCUAUAGUUUUAUUGACAUUAAAACUCUUAAAAUUUUAUGAUUUAAUACAUUUCAAACCUUACUGAUGAAAUAUAGUGAUUAAUUGAUAUUCCUGGUUUAAAAUCGGGUGCACUUAAAAUCCACCAUGGGAUUUUUCCCUUUAAAUCUUUAAUUUAAAAUUUAAAAUUCACAUAAUUUAGCCUUGGAGUAAACGGUACCUACGUCAAUUUACUAGUGUUUUACGAUCUAUUACUGUAUAUGUAUAUAUAACUUGUGUUUUAAUGUUUAUAUAGAAACUAUAGGAUCAGGUGACGUCUGAAUUUUUCAGUUUUUUACCUGAUAAAAAGCGUGACAGGAGAUAUCUGUUUUAUUUUGAAGAGAAGUUAAAAAAAACUGUAUAUUACUGGAAACUGAUAGAAAGGAAGACAUUCAAUAUCAGAGGAUUGUGAUCUGACAAUUUAUAAUUCAAAACAUGAUGAUUUAUAGCAAUGGAUAUCUAUCUUGAAGACAAUAUAGUUUAAGGAAAAAUAGGAAUUGUAUUAAGUUGACAUUGCGAGAGCAACAUUUUUGACAAUUCACAGUAAUAUAUAUAGUUGUAAAAGAUACAGUCAAAGGCACUCACGAAAGUUAACUGUUGCGAAGUGUUAGGUGAUUUUCAGUGUAAUAUAUUUGUUGUACAGUAAUAGUAAAAGGGAUUUUUAAAAUAACUGUACUGUCGUGUUACUGAACUCGUUCAGAAUUUCAUUAUAGAAUGGACUUCAAGACUGAAAAGAGUAUAACUUCUGGUAAAACCUAUGUUCCAUCAAAAGUUAACAUCAGUAGUAAAAAUGGUCUCUAUGAAGUACAGACAUAUAACCCAACCAUUGAUCCGUUCGAAAAGAAGAAAACUAAUACACUUAGUGAGCCUACCGAUCCGUUUAAGCAAAAGAUAGGGUAUUCCCCUACACGGACGACAGACGACAUUGCAAAACGGAAGAUUGAGGAUUACCAGGGCCACAAAUACGAUACUUAUUAUGAUUAUGGAUUUCCAAAUGAUAAAGAUAAGGAUAAGAGAAAACAGGAACCAAAGGAGCCCAAACCCAAGUCCACCCCAAAAGUGGACCGGAAACCAAAACAUGUUGAAAGAGCGGAAUCUCCGUUUCCAUACAACGCAUCAAAAAGUGUUUCGCGGACUUUCAUGUUGAUGACAAAAGGCAAUCGAGUAAGACCCGUGGGAACAAGCUUCAAAACGACAGAUGAAUUCGACUGAAAUUCUAUGGUUGUUGGACAUCGGAUUUGUGCAAUAUCAAAAUUACUUAUGUAUAUAAAUCACAUUUAAACAGGUAGUUGAGCAGUGGUUCGGCAAAAUCAUAACAAAAAUGUGCGUCAGGUUUAAGAACCACCAAGAAUAGACGGUACUUAGAAUAUUUGUAUAUGAACAUAUGAACGUGUGUCUCAAAAAUGUUUUUGUGAAACCUGUUUGUAUUUAAAAAUACUUGUGGCUAGCUGUUGUUAACUUGUAAGCAAGGUGACCGAGUAUUACCUUAGAAGAUCGAAAAUGUUUAAUAUUAAAAUAAGAUGUGGUAUGAUUGCAAAUGAGAAAACUCUCCACCAGAGACCAAAUGACAUAGAAGUUUUAUACAACUAUAGGUCACCGUACGGCCUUCAAGUAUAUUUACAACUAUGGGCCACCGCACGGCCUUUAAGUAUAUUUUCUUUUUUUAAUACCGUUAAUUAGGUACAUGUUUUGGUAGGAACCCCUUUUGGAAAAUCCUUGGGUCUGUUGAUGCCACUAAAUGUUAACUUAUCAAUAAAAAAUCAAAUUAGA